rnacentral:lncRNA from 1 species
UGGGCUUUCCACUUGUUUGGCCCGUAGCCAUCCAGCCCCAAUAUGGUCUGAAUCACUAUAUUUUCCUUGCUCUCACUGCCGACCGUUUUGACUUGUUGAAUUAAUUUAGUGCCCGCAAUCUAUAAAUUUGACAAAAAAAAACUUAUUUUAGCUCGCAGUUCACUCAUAUAAAUUACAACCAAUAUUUUAUUUUUCUCUUUGUAUCAUUGACAUCCUUUCAUAGUCCUGAGGCUACUUGCACUUGGUCCCCGAAGCAACCUAAAUACACAACACUAGGUUGUAUAUUGUAUUAUGUGUUCUUGCUGAUACCCUUUUAUGAAUAGAAAUGUCAUGCCCCGAACCAGGGUCGGUAAUAAAAAAAUGAACCUGAAUCCGAAACGUGACUUAAAAACUAAAUAAACAAAAGGAAAUCGAAAUGGGUUGGAAAAUAAAUUCCUUCUUAUAAAAAUAACUUAUGAUUCUUAAAAAAAAUCAAGAAUUCUAAACAAUUAUCCAGUAAAUAGAUGAAUAAACAUUUUAUUCUCACAUCUAAUCCAAUCUCACUUGCCUACCUCUUAAUGUCUAGUCUGUAAACUUGCAUAACAAUAUAAAGAUGAUCAGCCUCAACAACUCAGUUGGGACAUAACCUUACCACAUUAAAUAGAUAAUAUUAAAUUAAGUGUCAUGGAAUGCAAGUGGCCCUUUAUCACAGUGGUGGAAAGGAGUUGUGCCCUUGCAUAAUGGCGUAGGUUCGAACCUUGUCAGUGGCUAAUCUAACAUCUAAUCUAACAAAAUCUAUCGUUUAGCAACCAUCAUGAAUGCAAAGCAACCUCUUCAGCUACACCUGUUAAUUUAUAAAAUAAAACAUGCUGACAUGCACAUCCCAUUACGUGCAUUUUACCACUGUAGUGGUGGUUCAAAUGUUCUAUUAUACAAACUAAUCCCAUAAGAUAUCCAAAGUUCAUAAACCCCUUUUCUAUUCAUCUUAUCUAAUUCAUUGAUCUUCAUCCCAAAUCGACAAUUCAUCCUGCCGAUAUCAUAUUCUAAUGUGCACACCGAGCUGCCUGGGAACUGGUUUCACAAUGAAUAGAUUCAACUACACAAAAGAUCAUUUCUAAUUACCCUCAUUUCCAGAUCAAUAUCAACACUGAAGUUCCAACCACACCAACAUAAAUGAUGCACAAAUAAUGUCAUUUCAUCUUUCACAUGUAUCACGUAACAUUCUCACAAAUAGAAUUCCACCAAUAAUUCCAUAACCAAUACCAAGUAAACACUCAACUGAAGCAAUUAGCCAAUUAAUAUCCAACCACAUUAAUCAACCAAAAAGAUCAAGAAUAUUAUAACACUUCAUGAAAUCUAAUAAAAUCAAAUUCUGUUAAGGUUUGCCGUAUUUUCCCUACCUGGAUUUCAAAGCUAAAACGAAAAUCCAUAUCACUAACGCAAUAGCUUAACCUCACGUGCUUGAGAAAGCUCCUUGAUCACCAUGUAUUUCUUCCAAUCUCUUUUCUAUUCUAAUAUAUAUAUAUAUAUAUAUAUAUAUAUAUAUAUAUAUAUAUAUAUGAAAUUGUUAUUAGCACUCCAAAAGUCUCAUUCUACACUCUAAACUUUCUAUAUUAGGAAAUAAAAAUACACUUGUGAGGAGUGUGUGUGUGUGUGUGUGUGUGUAUACGCCAAUAUCUACAUAGACUAAUGCAUGCCAUUCUAUCCUAACUCAAGUGCUUAUUUUGGUUUUGAAUUGAAAUUACAAUGAGCUUCUCAUAUUUAUGCUAGGCGGUUAGCAAACUUAAUAACCAAGUAAAAUAAAAUAUAGAAACUUAAGAACCGGUUCUUAUCCUAAUGGUAAUGAGGUGUCAAUUGCAUGGGAAAAGCACAAGACACGUCUACCUAUGUAGCUUCACAUAGUCAUUAUGUAGAGUGCUCACUAGGCACUUGUGUCUUCUCACAAAUGGCCACCUCCUGCUUAAAUUUCACGAGUUACAUACACACAUGUCCUUUGUAAGCAAAUUCAAAGCCAUCUCUUUUUUGGUCUUGUCCACUUAGCUAAGCGAUAAAGCUUAGUCAUGCAAUAGUAAGCAUGAAAUCACUUAGCUUGCAACAUGCAUAACGCCUAACAUGGUUGAAAUGUACUAAACAUCUACAAUUCACUCUAAUAUCUACAAUUCACCCAUGUAAAACCCGAAGAUUUUCAUGCAAAUUAAACAAACUCAUGUCUUAGAACCCGAAUGUUCUAACGUUGAUAUUUAUGGAAGCUUUUAUUUCUCAUAGCAUCAACCACAAUCUUGUUGGUUUUUAUUCAAACCUAAGAUCUCUCAUUUACAAGUGAAUAGGAUACUGAUUUUCAUAUUCAAGUGGUUGACACACUACUAAUCACACCCAAGGCCGGUCCUGAGAUUUUGGAGGCCCUGUGCGACAAACAGAGACCCUUACAAGGUCUAAAUUUUGGUUGCUAUAUUUUCUGUUAUAUUUUAUAUUUUUUGUGUGUAUAAAUUGAUAUAAACGCAAAAGAAAAUAAAUAAAAAAGAAGCAUGGUUUGGUGGCUACGUAUCUGCAUUCCUUAUGUUUUUGAGUUUGAAACUCCUUACAUUUUAAAUACAAAAAGCAUGAUUUGGUGGCUAUGUACAUAUCAUAUCAUAGUACAUAUAUUAUAAUCAGAAUAACGCAUGCUCUUUAUUAUGAUAUUGUAACAUUUUAUAAUGAACUGUUAGUUUUUUUAUUGCAUUUUUUCUCAAUCCCUAAAGUGAGGAUGAUUCUAACCUUCACUCGGUUGAUUGUCAUUAGAUUAGUUAGAAUUCAAGAUUAGUGUUGUGAGCAAAGUUGUAUUAUAUUUAAUAUAUAUAUUGAUGACUAAAUGGUCUUCAAAUAGAAUGAAAAUUAAUGACAUGUGUUUGUACCAUAUUAUAUUGGGCCUCAUUACUUAGGCUUCCAAACAUUGAGCCCAUGAUCUAUGUAAAAGGGGAGGAGCCCUAAGUUUAUAAAAAGGACUCCUCACCCUCAUAAUCCUCAAGCCUGACAUCCCCAAACAGAGGCUCUCAUAUUCAGAGCAAAGCUCUCUUAAACUCUCUCUUUCUCUGGGGGGACUCCCCCUCACACUUGUAAUCCAUACAUACAGUUACAGAGAAAUACAAUCAACAUCAGUGUGGACGUAGCCCAAACAUUGGGGUGAACCACGAUACAUCUUAUGUUCUUUACUUUCUUGCAGAUUCAAGGUCGGAUUUACGUUGUUCCAAGCCCUCCGGUUUUGUGCAUCAACAUUUGACGCCGUCUAUGGGAAACGACACGAAAAGCUAUGUCGGUUCUCUUUCAUUUUUUUCAUCUCACCACCGUGAGACCUCAUCACUGUCCACUGUGGAUCUGCACAACCCAAGAACCAAACACCUGCAGAGUCACUAAAAACCACUACCAGAUGCAAAUUUCAAAGCUUUUGGAUACAAAAACCAUUACCAGCGCAACAUAUGACAUUUCCGUAAUUAACUUCAAGACCAAAGGCUAUUAAUCACCAACCCCGUCCACAAUGUUUCA